rnacentral:lncRNA from 1 species
UAGUGGAGUACAGAGUGUUAUUUCUGGGAUUCAUUCUGGGGCUGAAUCUGCCUAUGGAUCAAGAAUCCCAUGUGGCUUUGUCCUCUGAGGAUUUGACUUCUUUCUAUUUUGACCACCCUAUCCCUCAUUUUACACAUGCCCUGUAGUGCUUCAUUUUCAUAUCCAUCCUUAGUUUGCCCUGGGAUUGUAGUUGUAGCUCCCCUACUGCUUGCUGGUGCCCUCUCACCUUAAGAGCCUUAAGAGUUUUGGAUGCAGAGAAGUGACAGCAAGGAAGUAAGUUUGAAAUUUGAGUCCCUGAAUGAAGAAUCUUAAGUUAUUUCUAAGGGACAGACCUAGUCUUGAGAUGAGAAUUUUAGAGCUGAUAGCACCUUCAAGACAGGCCACUUGAAAAUGUAGUGGUUUUCCAGGAGUGGGAAUAUUUCCAGAGAGUGUACUAGAGGAAUGAGCCAAACACUUCAGAACCUGGAGCACUCCACUGCAGGGCUCUAUGUCCGGUGAACACCCUUGAACCCAGAAACAAAUGCUAGCCCAAGAUAGCUAUGAUCUUGACCCUUCUUUCUAAUACAGAAAGUAGAGAAUUGUUCUAGUCUCCUUCUGACUUUCCUCUUAAAUGUUAAAUAAGGGGUAGAUCAGUGAGAUGGGGUGGGGUGGUUCUAAUUUAGAGCAUACUCUAAGAAAGGCUCAGUAUCUCAUGAUUCCUUUUUCUUUCCCUGAAAGUAGAGCCCAGAGGAAGAAUGGCUGUCAUACAAUCAAAAACAAGCUCCAGUCACUGCCUUUUCCAUACACUGUGCUUCUCUAGGAUGGAAAUCCAGAAGAUGAUCGAUCAUUUCUUGCAGCUCUAAAAACCAUGGCUCAGGUAAAUCAGUGUUUCCUCCUGCUGUCUUUAAAUAGUCACUUUUUUACAGGCUAUGUGCAUGUUUGCAUCCCUUAUUCCUGAAACUUCCUAACUGACCCCACUCAGAAAUGUGCUUCCUGGUUUGUUCCGUUCUUAUAAGUGAUGUCUUCCCUAAGUAUGUCUUUCUAAUCUAGCCUAUAUUCAUAUACUUAUGCAAAAAUUCAAUGAGCAUCUUUGACUGGGAGCAUUGAUACAAU